CCUCCCAGCCCCCAGCCCCGCGGGAGGAGCUAAAGGACCCUACCGCCCGCAGAGGGGACAGCUGCUCCUGGCAUCUUCGGGCACAGGGCUGAGCCCUGCCAGCUGUUUGGAGGAGGAGAGGAGCCAGAAGAAGGGGGGUUUUCCACCUCCGAAAGUGCUGAACUCACGCUUGGCUGCUGGGCUGAGGUCCCCCCUGGAGUCUGGGGAGGUGUUUGAACCCUGGCUCCGCUGCUUCCUGGUGAGUGACCUUCAGCGAGCCACCUGUCCUCGGAGCUGGGCUUCCCAGGGGAGGACAUGGCCAUGGCCCGGCCUCAGCACCUGGAGCUGGUCCCCGGCCCCUCCCGGAUCCUGCCCGCUGCGAGGAGCCUGGAGACCCUCGUCCCAGGGCCCUGCGUGCACCCUCCAGCUUCGCCCAGUGCUUGCUCUCCAUGGCUGCCCAGUUCUAACAGCCCAGAACAUUGCUCUGGAAGCUGACGGCCUAGGGACAAAGCCCAGGUGUGUGGCAGGUGCUCUGUGGGUGCACGUCCAUCCCAUCCCGUUCUGAGGACUUGCCCGGGCCAGUCAGUCACGGCCACAGGACUCACAGGGGUGCUUCUCCAAGUGCAGAGAGCACCUGCAUGGGGUCCAGCACAUUCUCACCCACUCCCUAAACUACGGCUCACGGCAGCCAGACGGCCCACGCGGUGAUUAUGGCCAGAAGCCAUCCAGAGGCUGACUGACUUGUCCAAGAACGCCCAGAUGCAGGGCUGUCAGGAGGACCACCUUUUGCAAACCUCAAUGGACCAUUGUCUCCCUGACCCCCGGCCUGAGCCCCACGGAAGCUUCCAGGUCGUUUGAGGAGCACAGAAUCACACAGUUGAGAAAUCAAGCCUGUGUCAAGCGCGGCAAUACAUCUAAAUUGGUUGAUUAAAGCAUCAGGAAGAAAGUGGUGCUCGGCGGCAAUUAAAGCAAAGCCAUGGGAAGAUUUGGAAAUAUUGUGAUCCCUUCUGCGAUUUUUGCAAAUGGGCUUUCUAUUCAUAGCGAGUCCGUUGUCUUUAUUUCAUUAUUUCUAGGGGUUUUCUUCCCGGCUCCUCCCCAGGCUUUCAUGAUAUUGUUACAUAAAGGGAUUUCCAUCAUGACAAGCAUGCUUGUUGUGCAGCCAGGACAGGCCUGGGGACCUAGGUGUGCCUCGGGGUAGGGAUUCAGGCCGUGAGGCUCCUCUCACCAUCGAAUGCGGAGGUGGAGGGGAACCAGCCUGGGUCAGAGGCUGCGCUGGGCCGGGGGCACGCGAGGUAACCCACCCAGCUCCAAGACGGCCUUUCCUGCAUCUUCCCACCUGACCCUUUCUUCCAUGCCACUGUCCUCCUUGCUGCUCCUAGGACGUGUCAGGCACACGCCUGCCUCAGGACCUUUGUACUGGCUGGUCCUGACUACUGGCUGGUUCUGCUGUCCACUCCCACCCUGGCCUCCUCCUUCCUGCCUGCCUCGGCUGACACACUACCUCUCCGAAGCACCCUCCCCUCCUGACACUUCCUACCUGUCUUCUCAGCUUUUUCCCCUGAGAUGUUCCCUGCCAUCUGCUAUAGACUAUAUACGUAUUCGCUUAUUUCUGAGGAGUGAACAGAUUUAAGGGUUCUUGAGGUGGUCAGGGUCCAGAUCUGAGGGCUCAUGGUGUGAGGAUGGGGUUGGAGGGCUGUGGAAAUGUUUGCCCUGCUGGGGGAACCCAGGCAACACUUCCCUGACCUGCUGGUUUCCCCGGGACACACGGGUGUGCGCAGUGCCCCCAUUGCCCCCUCCACCUGCUGGCCUGUCCCCAGUCCCCACCUGGCACUCAGCCUCACCUCACUGGUUCCACAGCCCACCCCAUUUCCCGGAGCCCCACCUGGAGUCACUGUUACGGGUUGAAUUUGACCUCCAGAAUUCAUGGGUUGACGUUCUGACACCCUGUAACUCCAAAUGUGGCACUUUAUUUGGAAAUAGGACCGAUGCAGGUACAACGAAUGAUGUUGAGAUGAGGUCAUCCUGGAGUAUGCCCUAAUCCCAUAUGGCUACUGGAUGUCCUGAUGAAAAGGACACACUUGGACCCAGGUAUGUGCACAAGGAGCAGUCCACGUGAAGACAGAGGCAGAGAUCCGGGGACGCGUCUGCAAACCAGGGAACGCCGUGCAUUGCCAGCAAACCCCCAGAAAGGGAGAGAAGCCCAGGGAAGAUUCUCUCUCUCACAGUCUCAGAAAGAGCCAGCCUGCCAACACCUUGAUCUCAGCCUUCCAGCUCCUAGAACCUGUCGUCGUAAGCCCCCUGCCCUCGCCCGUCUGUGGCCCCCGUCACAGCAGCCCUGAGACAUGAACCAGGCUACCCAGCUCCCCCCGCGCACCCCUUCUUUCCCCUCCCUGCCCACACCCGGCUCCUCCAGGGCCGCCGCCCUCGCUCAUCAAAGGAGUCAGUUCUCUGAGUCUCUGGUUCCUCAUUUGAGAAAUUAGGAUAAUAAUACCCACCUCCCACGGCUGUCACGAGUCUUCAGUAAAGUACACUGGGAAAUGCACCUGGUUCGUAGUAAGGCUCAGUAAUUGGUGGUGGCAGUAGUGUGGUGGUUAUUUUUAUUGUUGUCAUAUUAAUAGUAUUAUUGUAAUUAACCAUCAUUUGCCAGGUCUGAGCUGGCCCUGGGGGGAUAACAGCGCCCCGCGUACCACCGUGUGCACAGGAGAAGAGGCUGCCCAUCAGAGAAGGGAAAGGCUUCCAUGCGUUCCUGCUUGCAGGAACGUAUUGCUGCCACCCCUGUGCUGGGACACACCGGUCCCAGUAGAGGGAGCUACGCUGAAUGCCAUGGGGCACGAUCAGGGCUCCGAUGAGGGACCCUGAGCCAGCCUGGGGUGAGGCGGGGGUGGAUGCAAAGAAGGCUUCGCGGAGCAGUGGACUUUUGAAGUCGGUGUAAAAGGAAGGGAAUCCGUGCCUCUGGCCCCAGCUCCUGCACGUAUUCAUCCCAUGACCCUGCAUGACAGACGAGAGCUGGCCUGUCCCCACUCCCGGGAGAGUUUGGGUGUCACGUUCUCUAGGACUCAUUGCCCCCCAGGCCCUCCCCUCGAAGCCACUCCAGGUCAGGACGCAGGUUGCCAGCCAGGUCCCGAGAGAGCUGCGGGCCUGGGGUAAGAGAAGGGAAACGCCCGAUGAACACCUAAAACAUGCCCUGCCCUGUCGCUGAAGACCCAUACCCCGCCGGGGCUGAGCCUGGACUGUCCCACACCUUCCCGGUUCUUUUAUUCAGUUUCGGCUCUGCGGCUGGCCACCUGCCUGUCCUUUUGAGCACCGAAAUAGAGAGAUAAAUAGGGAAGCAGAGCUGGGCAGAUGUCACCAUUUCUGAGAGUUGCCGCUCGCUCGCCACCUGGGAUUUUGUUUUCCCCAUCAGAACACAGAAUAUCCCAGCAGCGUGGAGUCUUUCUCUGCUGGCAGAUUUAAGGCGUCUUAUAAACAGGAGCCCGAGAAGGACAAAGGAGCACAUGUCUGCCAAGCACCUGUUCUGCUCGGGGAGCUGCCUUCCGUGGUACAGGUAACCAGAAUACCCAGUCCUCAAGGAGCCUGGCCUAUCAUGUGAGCAAUGAUGAUGAAAAAGAAGGACGAGGAAGAGGAGGAAGAAGAAAGAACUAGGCGCCCCCACCUCAACCACUGGGGUGGCUGAAGGGGAGAGAUCCUCACCUACACUCCCAUGAGCUGCCAACGGGUAUGUGCAAGGGCCCUGGGGCCGACUGGUGAUGACACAUUGAAGGCUUUUCCUAUUUUUGAAAAGGUUUUCUCAUCUUACAUCUCACUGACCCUCACAGCCCUUAGAAGGACCCAAAUCUGUUCCUGGUCUAUGGACACAGAAACGGAGGUGGGGAGGCUCAGAGAGGUGAAGGGACCCACCUAGAUCUCAGAGGAGAUGCACACCUGGGCCUGGGGACCUUGCACCCAGCUCCCAGGUCACGAGUCUCAGCAGGGCCUGCAAUAAGGUGGCCUUGGGAAGGCAUUUCAGGGAGUAGGAACAGCUUAGGCCAAGGCCCGGAGGCCGAUGGGACCUGAAAACGUGGCGAGGGGGAGGGGGUUGGCAGUGAAUGUUGGGGGAGCACAGAGCACAACUGGGAAAAGCAUCCCUCAGGGUGGAGCUGGGACGGCCCAGCCACACGAGCGUCAGAGCCCCAGGCGUGAGCGGGGACUCCUUGCCCUGCCCCUCCCUGCCUGGUGCUGCGUGAUCGGACCCUGACUCAGUUUCCCAGCUGUUAUGUGGGGCUGUGGUGCUCCCUGAGCGAGUGCCACGGAGGCACGGCCCCGGCACACAGCAAGGCGCGGGGUCCUAGGGCCUCGUCCUAGUGGAGCGCCACCUGUCACCUGGGGCGCGCACUGAGCUCCUAACAGGAGGCCCCUCGCAUCGGAUGUGAUGUGGCCACACGACUCCAACGGGACACAGACCCGUGUUCUCUGCUGCUGUGGCUCCCUGCCCUCGGGGGCUGUCUGGUCACGCUGUUUGCAGCUGGCAGCUGCCCCGGGGACCCCCGGGGGGAGGAAUUCAGAGCUGGGGCUUUUCACGGCACCCAGAUGUGUCCUCCGUGGGUACUUCUGGGUGACGAGGGGACGGGCUGAAGCCGCUGUCGUGGACGGAAGCAAGCGAGAACAUGUGAGGGCCAGAUUUGCCCCCCUUCCCCCACCCCCACCCUGAGGAGUCCUCCCAAGCUCUGUCAUGACUCAGUUCCGGGACAGCCGAGGGCUUGGGACAAGGGACAGGCUGGCCCCCACACGCGGCCCAGACCAGAGGGGAGCGGUGGCCCGGCUCUUGGCUGGUGUCCUGAGGGGUCACAUGUGCAGCGAGCUGCCUUCCUGCCCAGGGCACGUAUUCCUAAAGGGCAGCGACUGUGCCUUGUGUCGCCCCCAUUCGUCCCAUGGCUCCCGGACCACAGCUGCGGGUCAGGUAGGGGCCACCGCGGGUGCAAGACAAGUAGGUCUGGAGUCUCCAGGGCUGGGCAGCGGACAACCUGCUGUAGAGCCGUGUCGCGGCCCCUCGCAGGUGGCUUCUGGGGAGCCCAGAACUUUCCUGGACCAUUUUGGGAGCCGUUGUAACAAACGGGCUCUGGAAUGAGCCAGGCUGGGGUCUGCUGGCUGGCCGUGUGACCCCGGGGAAAGUCAUGGUGUCUCCCAGCUUCAGUUUCCCUGGAGGAGACAGAGCUCUUGCAGGGGUGGAGGGGCGGCGUUCUCACGGGGAUUACCAGGUUCCGUGUGAUGGGUGCUCCAGGAAUUCCAGAAUUGUGAUGAGUCCGCAGGGCUCUGGGCAUCACUGUGCACCCCAUCAUUCGUACAGUGAGGUCCUAACCCCUCGUGCCGCGGAAUGUGACUGGAUUUGGAGACAAGGUCUUGGAAGAGAUCAUGAAAUUAAACGAGGGCAUUAAGGCGGGCCUUAGUCCAACAUGACUCACGUCCUUAUAAAAGGAGUUCAGGGGCAGCCUGGGUGGCCCAGUGGUUUAGCGCCGCCUUCAGCCCAGGGCCUGAUCCUGGAGACCCGGGAUCAAGUCCCAUGUCAGGCUCCCUGUGCGGAGCCGCUGUGUCUCUGCCUCUCUCUCUCUCUCUCUGUGUGUGUGUGUGUGUCUCAUGAAUAAAUAAACAAAAUCUUAAAAAAAAAAAAAAAAAAAGGAGUUCAGGACACAGACCCACACGGGGAGAGGACGGUGGUCUGCAGACCAAGGAGAGCAGACAGGAAGAGCCAGCUCCGCAGACACCUUGACCUUGGACUUCCGGCCUCCAGACAGCGAGGCGACAAGUGCCUAUUGUCGGCUAAGCCGCCCCCUGCCCCUGGCACCUGUUACUGGACAAGAGGACACCCUGGCAUUUCAGGAGAAGUACUUAUCUCUCCCCCCAAAGGCUCCAGCUCACCCUGCAGGAGCCCCAGCCCAACUUGACCUUGUCCCAAAGAGUUCUCCACCCCUGGGGGGCUUCACGGGGAAGCUCUGGGCACAUAGACGUUGGCGGUGCUUGCGGUGGGCGCACACCAUUGGCGGAGACGAUCAAGGGAGCCACGCGGGUCCGUUCCAGGGCGUCUAGAGGGGCUUAAACUGGGCAGCCCUGGAAAUGCGAGGGGAGGGCAGCGUUUGUUGAGCGGCUCUCCGAGGCCUGGCCCCAUAGACACUCUUUCCGGGUUAUCUCGUUGGUUUCUCGUCUCAUCCUAAGGAAGCAGAGAAUUUGUCUCUACUUCGCACGGCUGAAGAGCAGGCCCAGGACCACGGGGCCACAGGGUGGCAGAGCCCGGGGCAGGCCUCAGAGAAUGAAACACCUGGCCAGGGCGCGGGGCACGUGGAGCCCGCCGCGGGUCGGAGCAGCGCUGGGCGGCCCGAAGACGGCCCUGCGGGUAGGGCAGUGGGGUCCCGGGAGUUCCUCCUCAAACGCUCCUUCAACUCCCGCUCCUACUCGCAAUGGAGAGAAAAGGGGCGCCUCCUGUCUCGGGGGAAGGUUGGGUUCAGUGUCCCCUCCGGUGGAGGCCCCUCCUCUGGGCACCUGCUAGCCUUGGGCUCGGGGGCGGCUGUGGUUUACAGCCCAGGCGUCUUGAAACCGGGGAUGUCCACCCGCCCCCGGCACCUCCACAGGGCUCCACACAGGAGGUGCCUGUCACAGUGAACGCCGGCAUCGUGGGCCUGUGCCAGCGCGCCACAUCCCCUGUGCCAACACCGGCAGCAAGCACUGUGGUCAGACCCAUUGCACAGAUGGGCAGAUAGCGAGCAGAGAGGCCGAGGGCAGGUCCACCUGCAGCACUUCGCCCAUGGAGGCGGGGGGGGGGGGGUUGACCAGGGGCCACCCUGCCCCGCAGUCUGCUGUUGAGUGACCAUGUGCGCGAGGGGUGUGGCAUCUGGAGCAGUCCUGCUGCCGACAGGCUGCGCUGGCUUCCUCCGCCGAGAGAUGGGCGCCCUCCCCACCACGUGCGUCGGGUGCUGUGGGGAUGCAGGACAGCGGGGUGGGCGCCCAGGUGUGGACCCUCCACCCGGGACAGCCGCAGCCCCCUGGAAGGGCCAGCCACUGCGUCGGGGACACUGGCCCGGCUGCUAACGAGGCUUCCCUGGCGCGGCCUUGGCGGUGGCGCCCGAUGGCACCCAGCUUCCCUCCACGGGCCUUCCAGGAUCCCACUCCAGCUCCCGUCUGACGCUGAGUCCGUGCUGGGCCGAUGAGGACUCGGAGGCCCAGAGGAGGAGCCUGCCUCCACCAGUCGGUCAUCAGAGUGGCUGAGCUCCUGCGGGGCCCCCCACCAGCCACUGCUCGCCCUGUCCUGCCCUCCUUCCAGAUCCACCUGCUGCUGGGGACGGGCCCCCGCCCGAGGCAGGUGCAAUAGGGCUGACCCUGCGGCCUCGGGCCUGGGAGGGGUAGUAAGGGGGUGCUUCCCGCAGGGGUCCCCAUCCCUGGAGAUCGCCAGCUGCCAUCUCCCAAGCCCCCACCCCGAGGUGGUGACGGGCCCUGCCUCAGUUCGCAGGGAGCUUGGCUCCUCCCCAGCUCACCACUCCGCUGACGGCCCUGAAGCCCCAGUGGGUGGAGGCUGCCAGCAAGGAGGCACGGCCUGCCUUCGGGACGGUGGGUGGGGGGGUGGUCUCCAGGCCAGGUGCUGGGUGCUGACAAGGGGGAGCACAGGGUGAAGGGGGCUCGGGGUGGAGGCGUUGGUGGUGUGCACUCCCAAGCCAGCCUGGCCCUGGGGACAGGUCCCACGGGAUGCAAACGGGACUAGGUUCCAGGCAAGCCUCCAUGCCAAGCUAAGCCAGGGGGUCCGCCUGGAGGAAGAGGCCUGACUCUGGGCAGCCCCGGUGGCGCAGCGGUUUAGUGCCGCCUACAGCCCAGGGUGUGAUCCUGGAGACCCUGGAUCGAGUCCCACGUCAGGCUCUCUGCAUGGAGCCUGCUUCUCCCUCUGCCUGUGUC